rnacentral:rRNA from 1 species
AUUGAACGCUGGCGGCAGGCCUAACACAUGCAAGUCGAGCGGAUGAAGGGAGCUUGCUCCUGGAUUCAGCGGCGGACGGGUGAGUAAUGCCUAGGAAUCUGCCUGGUAGUGGGGGAUAACGUCCGUAAACGGGCGCUAAUACCGCAUACGUCCUGAGGGAGAAAGUGGGGGAUCUUCGGACCUCACGCUAUCAGAUGAGCCUAUGUCGGAUUAGCUAGUUGGUGUGGUAAAGGCCUACCAAGGCGACGAUCCGUAACUGGUCUGAGAGGAUGAUCAGUCACACUAGAACUGGGACACAGUCCAGACUCCUACGGGAGGCAGCAGUGGGGAAUAUUGGACAAUGGGUGAAAGCCUGAUCCAGCCAUGCCGAGUACGUGAAGAAGGUCUUCGGAUUGUAAAGCACUUUAAGUUGGGAGGAAGGGCAGUAAGUUAAUACCUUGCUGUUUUGACGUUACCAACAGAAUAAGCACCGGCUAACUUCGUG